rnacentral:rRNA from 1 species
UACGUAGGUGACAAGCGUUGUCCGGAAUUAUUGGGCGUAAAGGGAGCGCAGGCGGUUGGAAUAGUCUGAUGUGAAAGCCCACGGCUUAACCGUGGAAGGUCAUUGGAAACUGUCCAACUUGAAUGCAGAAGAGGUAAGUGGAAUUCCAUGUGUAGCGGUGAAAUGCGUAGAUAUAUGGAGGAACACCAGUGGCGAAGGCGACUUACUGGUCUGUGAUUGACGCUGAGGCUCGAAAGCGUGGGUAGCGAACAGGAUUAGAUACCCGGGUA